GUGACUUUCUUUUCUUUCUCCCACAAUCAUAGCAAUGCCAGCCUGCCUUUAUUAAUGGGUGCAUUGCCAUUGGAUGGAAGCCUCUAGGACAGCAUCUGGUCACUUAACUCCAGGACCAACUCCCGGACCUAUUCCUGAAAAGAUGAGACAAGGCUUGACAAAACAAGAUGACUCAGAAGAUAAAUCUGUUUUUUAUAUCAAGAAGCACUACAAGGGUUAACAAACAGUGAACCGGACACCUGACCAGAGGACCAAUCAGGAAACAAGAUACUUUCAAAUCUCGGUGAAGGGAAGCCUUUGUUUGUGUUUUUUGGGUUUUGCUUUGUUCUCUCUGGGAUCUGAGAGUAACCGGACGUACUACAGGCUCUAAUUUUCUAUUCAAAUAGUGCCAUGAAGUUUGGCUGACACAUGGAACUAGCCUAGAGAGGAUCAGGU